rnacentral:rRNA from 1 species
CGAACGGAAAGGCCCUGCUUGCAGGGUACUCGAGUGGCGAACGGGUGAGUAACACGCGGGUGAUCUGCCCUGCACUUCGGGAUAAGCUUGGGAAACUGGGUCUAAUACCGGAUAGGAACCAUCUUUAGUGUGGUGGUUGGAAAGUUUUUUCGGUGUAGGAUGAGCUCGCGGCCUAUCAGCUUGUUGGUGGGGUAAUGGCCUACCAAGGCGGCGACGGGUAGCCGGCCUGAGAGGGUGUACGGCCACAUUGGGACUGAGAUACGGCCCAGACUCCUACGGGAGGCAGCAGUGGGGAAUAUUGCACAAUGGGCGCAAGCCUGAUGCAGCGACGCCGCGUGGGGGAUGAAGGCCUUCGGGUUGUAAACUCCUUUCGCUAGGGACGAAGCUUUUUGGUGACGGUACCUAGAUAAGAAGCACCGGCUAACUACGUGCCAGCAGCCGCGGUAAUACGUAGGGUGCGAGCGUUGUCCGGAAUUACUGCGCGUAAAGGGCUCGUAGGUGGUUUGUCGCGUCGUCUGUGAAAUUCUGGGGCUUAACUCCGGGCGUGCAGGCGAUACGGGCAUAACUUGAGUGCUGUAGGGGUAACUGGAAUUCCUGGUGUAGCGGUGAAAUGCGCAGAUAUCAGGAGGAACACCGAUGGCGAAGGCAGGUUACUGGGCAGUUACUGACGCUGAGGAGCGAAAG